UCUAAUAUGACAGAAUAUAUGUAUUGGAUUUAAGCCCCACUUAUAAAGGAUUNAUCCUUUUUUUAGAA
rnacentral:tRNA from 1 species